UGUUUCUGUUCAUGGUGUGUGUUUUCAAGGUUUGAACAGAUGCUGUCUAAAACCCUCAGCAGCGCUGCCACUGAGAGGUGCUUAUGGAACGUAAGCUACACAAGAGGCUAAAAGUUCCCUGAAGCAAGAUUUUCACCUCUGUCCUUUCCAUCCUUCUUCUGGACAUAGGACACUCUCUGCUUGUUUCCCAAGAUCAGUUUCUCAGGUGCCCACCUGUGCCACUAUGAUUAUAAAGCCUGGACAAUUCACCUGGGACUGAAACUUCUACAACAUGCAGCCCACUCAAGGGUAAUCUGCAGAGAACCUAAACUGCCUGAAAACAAGAAUAAGGGACCGUUUCUCCUUUGAGACCAAGAGGCAGACUUCUCCAAUAUCCCAAAGGUAUAUUCCUGGUAAUGUUUGAUCAAGCUUCUUUAUAUGCUCAAAAUGUAUACACAUGAGUACAAAAGGUACAUUACUGGCUGCCUUUUGCUGCCACAUCUUUUAUGGAAAAAUU
rnacentral:lncRNA from 1 species